AGUGAACGCUGGCGGUAGGCCUAACACAUGCAAGUCGAACGGCAGCACAGUAAGAGCUUGCUCUUACGGGUGGCGAGUGGCGGACGGGUGAGGAAUACAUCGGAAUCUGCUUUUUCGUGGGGGAUAACGUCGGGAAACUUACGCUAAUACCGCAUACGACCUACGGGUGAAAGCAGGGGAUCUUCGGACCUUGCGCGAUUCAAUGAGCCGAUGUCGGAUUAGCUAGUUGGCGGGGUAAAGGCCCACCAAGGCGACGAUCCGUAGCUGGUCUGAGAGGAUGAUCAGCCACACUGGAACUGAGACACGGUCCAGACUCCUACGGGAGGCAGCAGUGGGGAAUAUUGGACAAUGGGCGCAAGCCUGAUCCAGCAAUACCGCGUGGGUGAAGAAGGCCUUCGGGUUGUAAAGCCCUUUUGUUGGGAAAGAAAAGCAGCAGGUUAAUACCCCGCUGUUCUGACGGUACCCAAAGAAUAAGCACCGGCUAACUUCGUG
rnacentral:rRNA from 1 species